GUCUAUUGGUCGCCAGCUGCCUGUGGCCCCGCCCCCUCGUGAAGGCCGCGCCCCGCCCAGGGCCUGGUGGUGGGCUCUGGAGGUGGUUGUGUAUUUCGCCGCCCUCGCCUGGCCUUCCUGCCUUACACCCUCAGGCUCUUCAGGCCGCAACUGUGUAGCACGCUGUGCUCACCUUCCUCCAACAGAGCUGCACCCCUCCUGAGAGCAAACUGAUGUGCUGAGAAGCCAUACAAGGCCAAGUCCGGAAGGGAGCUAGACAGAUACAAGGAAUGAUGGGUGAUGUCAGACAGCCCGGCUGGCACCUCAGCCAAGAUGGGUUGGAGAGAUGGCUCAACACUGACUACUCUUCCAGAGAACCUGGGUUCAAUUCCCAGCACCCACAUGAAAGCUACCAACUGUCUGUAACUCCAAGAUCUGACGCUCUCACACAGGCAUACAUCAAGCUGAUAAGCAGUGUAUGGGAACUGUGUCCUCGAGCCACACUGGACUACACUGGACUCCGCUACUUAGAGCUACUUAGAUGCCAUCCAUGGUGGUGUGCGAAGCACAUAUAGAUGUGUGAGCAAGCAUUAGUAGUCACUGCUGUGAGCUCAGCAGAAGAACUGAGCUGCUGUAGGCACUCAGUAAAUAUUUCUUCACUGGCUGAGCCAUCUUGUCAACCCUCAGUAAACAUCUCUCCAAGAAUAAAUGAAUGUGCUGGUCGGUGGGGGUGCA
rnacentral:lncRNA from 1 species